GAGAUGGCGCUGAUGGUGGACUGCAGGCUGCUGCUGAGAAAAGUCAAAGAUUUAAGAAGUUUAACGCCCAGAAGAAACCGGGUGAAGGAGAAAUGGGCUGCCACGCGAGUCAAACACCCACCGACCCGCCUGGCGCUGCAGCACUUUGAUGCCACCUACAGUGGCCAGCUGGGGAAGAUCUGGCCGUCGGUCAGAGUUGCUCUCCUGUCAGAGAGAAAAUACGGAGCUCUGCUCAACCAUUUCUCAAACCACAAUGUUUUGGAAGACCUCCAGAGCCAAGGAUGCUCAGACUUCAUCAGUUACAGAGAUGAAGAAGCGGGUGAGCUGCGGUGCACAAAUGAAAAACCUGAGGUCGGGUGUGUGGAGGAAUCCACUGCUGACUCCGAUGGUCAGCAGCCAUCUGGCCUUCAGCUGAGCCCCAACAUCCAGUGUUUCGUGUUUCCACGAGGAGACGUGACACGAUUCCAGCCUGCUCGGCCAGACCUGUGCGGCCUGUUGAGUCACUACUUGAUGGACGCUGCGUCUGUGCUGCCCUGUCUGGCACUGGAUGUUCAGGAAGGCCACAACGUGCUCGACCUCUGCGCUGCUCCAGGAGGAAAGACCCUGGCUUUGCUUCAGACCCAGUCCAUCAGUUUUUUGUGUGUAAACGAUGCAUCUGUUUCUCGGACCAUGCGACUCCGGAAGGUUCUCAACAGCUAUGUUCCAAAGGAGUUUUUAACAAAUGAGAAGCUGCGCAUCACCUCGUUUGAUGGCACACAAUGGGGUGACAUUGAAAGGAACACCUUUGACAGAGUACUCGUUGACGUCCCUUGCACCACAGACAGACACUCGCUCAUGGAGGACGACAACAAUAUAUUCAGUAAGAACCGGAUCGGUGAAAGACGGAGGCUCCCUCAGCUGCAGGCGGAGCUGCUGCUAGCCGGAAUACAAGCAGCGUGUCCAGGUGGAGAGAUCCUUUACUCCACCUGCACACUCUCUCAAAGCCAGAACCAAAGUGUGGUUGAACAGGCUGUUUUUGUCGCUCGAGAGAACCACGACAUCCAACUUCAGGUUGUCAGUCUCCGACCGCUCACACAAAUGUUCCAAAACACUUUUUACUUCGCUCCCGACCUGCGCCUGGGUGAGAUGGUUCUCCCACAUUUAACCUCAAACUUUGGGCCUAUUUACAUGUGCAAGCUGAGGAGGCUGACUUAGACUGGGCACUGCUGAGCUGCGGGGGGAAAACAAAGACUCUGGAGCUGGGAUUGUCUCUGCUGAGACAUUAAACUGUUCUGCACAGAGUUUGAAUCACCUGUCCAGUUGAUGUAACGGGACCUUGAGGGCGUUGCUUCAGGAAAGCACUGAGCUGCACUUUCCCGUUCGCCCCGUAGGUGUCAACAGCAGAUAAAGAGUGAAUUUAUCCUGUAACCUCUGUGCCCACUAGAGGACACUAAACCUGUGUGGGUGAAGAUGGCGGGAGCUCCAGCAUGUCUGUCCUCCUGCACUGUGAAUCAUGCAUAGAGGUUUGAUGGCUUUGCCUAAUAAAGCGGCGUGCGUCUCUGUGGAAGGAUGACAUAAUGAACAGACAGGUAAUGACUGAUUUGACCAUUUGGCUUCUCACAUCUGAAUAUGCGCACCUUUCAUUACUGGAGCUGGAUCGACUCUGUUUUGCAUUGGCAUCGCUCAGAGUCCAAAUGUUUCCUCUUAUCGCAGCCUAAUAUGUAGCGAGAGGUGCCUCUUUUUCCAUCACACCGCCGAUGACCCUUUAUGUUGUCCUGGCCAGGAAAUGUAGCGUGAAAAAGGUGUGUGUGUGUGUGUCUAACGAAUCCUCCAUCCACAUCCCACUGUCAUUAAGCUGCUCCAAGUGCUGGAGCCGACUCCCAUCCCCGUACGGGGACGGACGGCAGCCAUGCGGCUCCCAGAUGAACAUUAAAGAGGCAGCAGAGAACUAAAAUGGGAUGGCUCGCCCCGUUUUGCCCCUCCGCUUUUUUAUUCCACAGAUGAGUGCAGAUAAUUUCCUGUGCGAUUGUGAGUGAUUACUGUAUUACUGCGGUAAAAGGGGGAUGUAUCGGGGAAUGCAGAGGGAAUUAAUGACACAUAAAAACUAUUUUUGUAUUGACUGCGCUCGUCCCCAGGGCCCUGAAUGCCUCUCCGCAUAUCUUGUGAUUACCUAAACGUAUUGUAAAUAUGUGUUUCCUAUGGGCUCCUCCAUAAAUUUACAUGUUUUAACACUCAGGAGACGGCAGACUGUUAGAGAUGAGUUACUCUCUAUUCCUCCUGUCUAUAGACGCGAAUGGCUGCCUGCUUUAUUAUUGAAUUAUCCAAUGAAGCGCUGUGCAUUUGUGUCCCUGUGUGUAAGCCUGUGUUAGGGAGACAUGCUGUGUAUUAGAAAGAUGAAUAUUAUGGAUUUAACAACACAACCUAGCUUCUGUUGUGUUACAUUUUUUUUGUUAA